AAAUUAGGGUCUCCGUUGGUGACCAGCGGAGGGUCAUUACCGAGUUUACAACUCCCAAACCCCUGUGAACAUACCUUAUGUUGCCUCGGCGGAUCAGCCCGCGCCCCGUAAAAAGGGACGGCCCGCCGCAGGAACCCUAAACUCUGUUUUUAGUGGAACUUCUGAGUAUAAAAAACAAAUAAAUCAAAACUUUCAACAACGGAUCUCUUGGUUCUGGCAUCGAUGAAGAACGCAGCAAAAUGCGAUAAGUAAUGUGAAUUGCAGAAUUCAGUGAAUCAUCGAAUCUUUGAACGCACAUUGCGCCCGCCAGUAUUCUGGCGGGCAUGCCUGUUCGAGCGUCAUUUCAACCCUCAAGCCCAGCUUGGUGUUGGGAGCUGCAGUCCUGCUGCACUCCCCAAAUACAUUGGCGGUCACGUCGAGCUUCCAUAGCGUAGUAAUUUACACAUCGUUACUGGUAAUCGUCGCGGCCACGCCGUUAAACCCCAACUUCUGAAUGUUGACCUCGGAUCAGGUAGGAAUACCCGCUGAACUUAAGCAUAUCAAAA
rnacentral:rRNA from 1 species